rnacentral:rRNA from 1 species
UACGGAGGGUGCAAGCAUUGAUCGGAAUUACUGGGCGUAAAGGGCGCGUAGGCGGUAAGAUAAGUCAGAUGUGAAAUUCCGGGGCUCAACCCCGGAGCGGCAUUUGAAACUAUCUUUCUAGAGUACAGUUAGGGAAAACGGAAUUCCACGUGUAGCGGUGAAAUGCGUAGAUAUGUGGAAGAACACCGGUGGUGAAGACGGUUUUCUGGGCUGUUACUGACGCUGAGGCGCGAAAGCUAGGGGAGCAAACAGG